UGUUAUAUUCAAAAGUGUAAGAUAGCGUAAUUGUAAUACACGAGCUGAGGUCUAUUUAUAGAUUACAAUUGAGGGUAAAAAGGUAAAAUCAAUGCCCACGCAUGCUCCUUGCGUGGUCGAAGGGUAGAACAGUAAUUUUGCCUUUACGCGGGAAGUCUCCCGCGUUUCUGACGAUCCCACUGAUGGAGGUGAUCUCUCUGGCG
rnacentral:lncRNA from 1 species